rnacentral:tRNA from 2 species
CGGGAUGUAGCUCAGUUGGCAGAGCGCACGGUUCGGGACCGUGAGGCCGGAGGUUCGAGUCCUCUCAUCCCGACCA